UAUAAUUUUAGUUAAAAGUGACAGCAAAGCCAUCUCGUGCAAAAUCCAGACGGUUGUCAAAGUCAAUAAGAAAUACAUCUGGCCUUCUGUCAUAAUUUAAUAGAAGAGAAGACGGUGCCGUUUCCUUUUCGGGAAUUUCAUCAGAUUCAAGCUUUCGUUUCAAAGUUUUGGUAUCCUCCUCGGCGUCAUUC
rnacentral:lncRNA from 13 species